rnacentral:miRNA from 1 species
UAGAAGAAUCAUAUAUACCCCUA